AAAGAAAUCAUCUGACCUGACCACAAGCCCCAGCUCUCUUACAGGCCACAUGUUAUUCUGAGCAGACUAAAGAUAUUUUAUUGAAAAUAAUUCUCUCUCUCUCUCAAGAAUGCGAUGCGAGGAAAAGCUAAGAAGCCUGACAGAUGGUGGACUGGCCAUGGUCACAGCUUACAGGAGGCAGAGCUGGAGCUCCAGCAUCAGCAAUCCAAGUUCAAGGCCAACGCUCCCAAGCAUAUGCUACAGUGCACCUGCACCCAUCCCAGAGCUUCCCACAGUCAUUCUGGUAAGUCUUAUAAUGGAACCAACAUGACCUUAUUGGUGGGCACUGGCAGUGACUGGGGUCCUAAGAGGCCAUAUCCUGCAGGGGAGACAGAGCUGACGAGGAGACGCCAAGAGCUGAAUGCUGCCAGUAGAUCACAAGAGACUCAUUCUCAUGCCUUAAAAACCCGUCCAGGGCCAGGUUGGAGAUUUAGGUCAGUGGCACCAUGCCCCGCCCUCAGUGCAAGGUCCCGAGUUCGAUCCCCAGUACUGGAAAAAUAAACCAUGCCAGGGCCAUUCUGAGCCAUCCAAAAGGGACAAGGGUGACACACAAGGAUUUUGGCUACUUCAAAAGUAGAAGCUGGACAUGGAGAUGCAUACCUAUAUUUCCAGCUAUACAGGAGGAUCUUUUCAGCCUAGGAGUUUAGGGACGGUGGAGGCAACAUAGAGCUUGACUGCUAUCCUUAACCUAACAUCAAAUUAUUCCUCAAUUAUGUCUACUUGAAAUGCUGUAACUUAUACAAAUUGGUGGAGUUAGUACCACACCAUACAACAGAUUUAAUCACAGUAGCUUUUUAAAAAAUACAUAUCAUGUUGAAGAACUUUGCUUUUAUAAGUUCCUACGAAUUAAGUACCUGUUUGUUUACUAUCAAGUACACCUACCUCUAAGGGAUGGCAAGGCACAAAGGCUCAUACAAGUGCACACAGGCUUCACAUACCCAAUACGAUAAGAGAAGAGGCACACUGCAC
ensembl:lincRNA